GUGUGAAACUGCACAGAGCAACGAGGGUGUGGAGCACGGAACUGGAGUGGGAGGGAGAGAACAGAGACAGGAGGCGAGGUGAUGCCCAGGAAGCAGUGCGGACAGCUCAGCUGCAGCUGAAGGGGACAGUGGUUCAGAGGGAUCCUGCCUUGGGAUGCAGCGGGAAUAGCACUGUGGACUCUCACUGAUUUUACAUCAGCUAAGGAUCUGCUCUAUGCUCUGGUUAUUUUUUUUUUUUUUGGGUACCUGGAUGAGGUCCUUUGCCAAAGUCAGUGGAUGUCUUUGCAGUUCUGAAAUCCAGGGUGAGCAUCACGGUCAGACACCAAAAAUCUGUUGCUUUUUCUUUUUUUUUUUUAUAAACCUAUUGAAAAAUCCCCAACCCCAAACAAACCUUUUCCCCCAUGUAAAAUCUAGUGUGCAGUUAUUUGGAACAGACAGGAUCACAGUGUGUUAGGGAGCCCUGUGGGAGCCAAAGCCCACGUCUAACCACAGAAGAUCAGCACACAAAUACAAAUGCUGAGAUAAUGUUACAGUGCACAGAUUAGGGCUCAAAUCUUCAGCAAAUCUGCUCAGAGCAAGGAAAUGACAGCACGUGGGGCAUGUGCAGCACACUGAGCAUGUCUCAUUCAGAGGCCCAUCAGUAAAGGCAGUUAUUGCUAAUAUUGUGUUUUAUCAUAUUAUUUCUCAAUUAUUUGCUCCAACAACUCUCUUGUCUCAGCUAAAUAAACUGGCUGUGCAGAAGCUGA